rnacentral:rRNA from 1 species
CGCCUGUUUAUCAAAAACAUAACCAUGUGCACUUAAACAUGGCCAUUUCUGCUCAAUGAACUAUUAAAUAGCCGCAGUACACUGACUGUGCAAAGGUAGCAUAAUCACUUGGCUUAUAAUUGAAGUCUGGAAUGAACGAAUAUAUGGCUGAUAACUGUCUCCCUGGAAUACCCUGAAUUUACUUAAUAGGUGAAAAUUCCUAUAGGAUAAAAAUAGACGAGAAGACCCUAGAAAUUUUAACCAGAGGGUGUGAUAUACUGCACGUUUUUGUUGGGGCGACAAAAUAACAGCAAACUUAUUGUUGUAGAUUUGAACUAAAUGUUGGGGAAAUGUAAAUUACUCUAGGGAUAACAGCAUUAUUCAAUAGAGCUUGUGACCUCGAUGUUGGACUAGGGGGCCGCCUGCCCAGAAGUCAGGCGGGCGUGUUCUGUUCGAACAACUACCCCUACGUGAUCUGAGUUCAGACCGG